rnacentral:ncRNA from 1 species
AAGAGCGAAGAAACAGAAGGUUGCUAAAUUACAUAGUAGUUUAGGUUUUUCUGCGGAGCGAUGUCCAGUUCAAGAAACCGGGCGACAA